rnacentral:rRNA from 1 species
AUUGAACGCUGGCGGCAGGCCUAACACAUGCAAGUCGAACGAGUGGCGGACGGGUGAGUAAUGUCUGGGAAACUGCUCGAUGGAGGGGGAUAACUACUGGAAACGGUAGCUAAUACCGCAUACCAUCGGAUGUGCCCAGAUGGGAUUAGCUAGUAGGUGGGGUAACGGAUCACCUAGGCGACGAUCACUAGCUGGUCUGAACGGAUGACCAGCCACACUGUAACUGAGACACGGUCCCGACUCCUACGGGAGGCAGCAGUGGGGACUAUUGCACAAUGGGCGCAAGCCUGAUGCAGCCAUGCCGCGUGUAUGAAGAAGGCCUUCGGGUUGUAAAGUACUGUCAGCGGGGAGGCGUUACCCGCAGAAGAAGCACCGGCUAACUCCGUGCCAGCAGCCGCGGUAAUUC